GUCGACUUAACCACUAAUACACACAAGUCUAAAAGAAAUUAAAAUGUGUAAACUGUUUUAUCACAUUGAUGCUUAAAAAGAAAAUAUACGAUGUCCGCCUGUAUACGUGCAGAGGAAUAUCAGACCUUUACCCUACACUUACUUUACCAGUCGUGCCCGCUUAAUAAUACCGUAUGGAAUUAAAGUCAAGUACCAUUUAUUUUGCAAUACAACUAUUUAAGAUAAUUAAAUAAGUAACUUUUUAUGAUGGUUGCAAGUGAAUGUGUGCACGGUCAAGUGAAUCAAGAAAGGCUUUCAAAUAUCUCUUGAGCCUACUUCGUUCGAAUAUGUGGCUGGUUUUAACAGUUCUUGUUGGGAGUUUCGCACAUUACAUUUUGGCUUUAGACGGAGACAAUAUCUGCCCAGAAGAAGAAAGGU